CACACACACACACACACACACACACACACACACACACACACGCAGUGUGAAAGAUGCGAGCCAUAGCAUCUCGUAACAUGAAGGCCAUCCAGCUCCAUCCUCCCACUGCUGCUUGAACAAUAUGCUUAACACGUAGUGCCGCAGUCGCUGCUUGGAUUGAAUGUGUUCAUGCACAGAUUUUAUCAUCUUGUUACUCAAACGACUGAUGGCUUCUGACCCUGCCUGAAAAUUUCCUAAGAGGUAACAGUUCUAGGACACAGAUGCUGGAGGGAGUGGAGGAAGAAGUUUAAUUACCACAUACAGCUCUUCCAUAUGCAAGGUCUCUGGGGCAAAACUGUCAUUCUGUCUGAAGCCAGACCCUCAAUGUCAGACUAAGAGAGUCGGAUGGAGACUACAUCUUCUGUGUGUGUUGCAAUGGGAGGACUUCUCUCCACCGAGUUUAGUGAGGGACUUGCUGCCUCCUACAUUCUUAUCUCUCAGAGACUGCAGGGAUAAAUGUCCAGCUUCUAUGUGCCAGAACCUGGGGCACCAGGGAAGAAUCUAUACAAAGGCCACAAAAAGCACUAAAGCUCAAGAAAAUGAAUUCUGAUGUCAUAGUAGGAAAGAAGAUAGGCCAUGUUAAUCACAUGAUAAUUGAGUGGAGUAAGAGAAUUUCCAAUCAGAGGCUUCAUUGUGUGACUCAGGGGCCGUUUUCAGGGAAAUAAGUCAUAGUCAUUCAUAAGGAGCAUGAAUGGUGUGGAGCUGUGUUUUGUGCUUGAAAGAAUAGAUGGGAAUCAGAACCUGGUGGCCAAUGUGUGCUCAGCAGAGAUAUUUUCUGCUUUAUCUCUUUGUCAAAGGGUUGUGGGCAAGAGAGUGAAAGAUACAUUAUAACUUAGAUCUGUGGUUUAAAAAUAUCAGUUUGAGAAUGAUAUAUUUUAAAAGAUGCAUUGGAGGGAGUAAGAAGUGCUAAGUAGGUGAAAUACUUUUUAAAAUUCUAGGUAAGACAUGAUAAUGUGGAAGUAUUAGCCAGUGAGACAUUACAGACUUAUGGUCUAUAUGAUUUUCUUACUGGAUUGUGAGAUGGUGAGAGUGAUUUCACAGUCAAUGCUGAAAGGUAUUGGUGCCAUUAACAAGAAGGGGAACGACGGGGGAUAGGUAUGGGAGAAACAACACUUUGUAUUACUAUAUUCCUGUUUUCCUUGGUAGAACUUGAAGCUUAUUUCAUAAAAUUUCUACAUUUUUUCCAAACAAGUGUUCUGUUUGUUACAUGACCGUGUUAGGCUUUUUGUUUUGUUUUGUUUCUC
rnacentral:lncRNA from 1 species